CUCUGCACACACACACACACACACACACACACACACACACACACACACACACACACGCACACACACACACGCACACACACACACGCACGCACACACACACACGCACACACACGCACACGCAAGGCUGCCGAGCACAGGGCCGCGCCGCGCCGGUCGCCGCUUGUCUGCGCUCUUCGCGGGGGGUCGAGCGCGCACGUGCGUUUGUGCGUGCGGGGGUGGCUGAUGCGUUUGCUUCGCUCUCCCUACUCGUGCAGCCCCCUGCCUGGCGAUGCUGCGCUGUGCCCCUAGCAAGCUGUUCCGCGCCACGCCGCUGCUGCGUGUGUGGGCCGCGGAGGAGGACGACGCGAGCGCCCCGCGGACGACCUUCAGGAACGUGAGGCCUGGCCGGCUGCUGCGGCUGUGGCGCCAGAUGCGGCACCGCGCAUGGAUCCUGUACGCGUGGGAUGAGGAGUGGGUGUCGCCGAUGCAGGAGGGCUACCUGCACCAGCAGCGUCUCGAGCAGGUGUGCUUCGCGCCGCUGUCCGCGUACGGCAUGGUGCCUGGCAGCUACUGCGAUCCCCUGCUGUACAACACCAAGAGCACGUCGCCGUUCCGGUGGCACGUGGCGAACGUGCAGGGCGACAUUGUCGGACACUGGUACAUGGACGCCGACGAGCUGUUCCGCAUCAAGGACUGGCAGCCAAGGAACCCGGACGACCCGCUGGAGAUGUUCCCGCGACCGCCGCAGAUGCUGCUGCGGUGGGACGAGUCGGUGGACGAGCACGGCAACCGCGCGUUCCGGUACAGGUACGACUACGAUAUGAUGGGUCCCACGGGCAAGUGGGAGGCGUACCCGCGGUACCCCUUCUCUCACCUUUACCAUGGCGGGCCAGACCAGCACGGACGCGCUGAGGGGUACGGCUUCCAGCAGGGCCACCUCCUGCGCUGCGACGAGGCGGAGGAGGAGGUGCUGCGCCGCAUCAUGGAGGGGGAGGACAGGGAGUGGGAGAUGGUGAAGCGGACGGAGGCGGUGCAGGAGCCGUGGUCGUACCCCGGCAAGAUCCGCCCGAGGGACUUUGAGGGGCGGUGGAGCGUGCCAAGGCGCGGUUCCGCGAGCGGGUCCGACACGGCAAGGAGACGGACCCGAGCGAGGACCCCGAGUACGACCUUGCUCAGGCCAGCGAGUACGUGGAGCCGCGCGAUGGGCGGCGGGCGGAAUGGCGGCAUUUGUGGGCGUCGGGCCGCAAGCCCGGCGAGUCGCUGCCCUUCCAAGUAACGUUCAACGACGGACUGUGCUUCGAGGAGAACGAGGGCGGCCCGCCAGCGCACCCGGCGGCGCACUACGAGGCGACGCCGAAGGGGGCGCCGCACGGGAGGUACGAGGACGCCGACGCCGCUGCAGCCCGCGCAGCCGAAGCGGCGCACAAGGCUGUGUGUGAGCAGUCGUUGAGCGAGGCGAUGGAGCGGCAUCGCAGGCUGUUCGGCGACACGAGCGGCGAGCCGAGCGGGCCGAGGGCGCCUCUGCCGACGGGUUGCCGGCCGAUGAGGUGCGCGCCGGGCCCGCCGCUGCCAUCUGGCCGCAGCCGGAGCUCGGCGCCAGAGCAGUGAGCAGCGGGCCCGUGUGUGGCGCAGGGGCGCGUGAUGGGAGAGCGAAGGGGAGGGGCGCGGUGGUGAAGCGCCUCCCGGUUACGGUGUGCGCGCGUGCUCACGGCGGCGGCGGGAGGGGCGGGUGUGACGACGGCGCGACACGCUCGACACGGGUGCCGCCUCGUCUCUCUCUCCUUCGGGAGUUUGACUGCCGCCCGCCACGCGCCUGGUGCUCGCUGCCCGCCGGCACCGUGUGCGCGGCUCAUCCGCACCCCUGCGGUGCCUUGCAAGGCCGGCAUUUGGUGCCGCAUUGGACGGGCGGGUGCGGCUACGAUGGCGGCGGUAGGGCUGCCUGCGCCGCACCGCUUGCGCGUGUGCGCCAACGGACCGUCCACACCCUUUCCCCACUCGUCUCCGCUCGGCGCUUCCCGGGCCUCCUGCUUGGCAUGCGCUGCCGCGCUCGUAGCGGCUCGGGCAAUGGGAGGCGGAGGCGGCGGCCGCUGCGGAACGAGAGAGGCGGCGAUGGAGGCACGCUGGGUGAAGGGGCGCGGGGCGGCGGACGAUCGUGCCCCGUCACCCUCCCCCUGCCCUGCGAUCUGCUCCCGCUGAUGCGCGACUGCCGACGGUGCCGAUGCUCUGCCUUCCGUCUGCUCUACGCGCCCUUGCGUGUCUCUCGGCAGGCCUCGGGGCAUCACGCACGCACCCGCACAUACACGUGCGUGCGUCUGUGCGCGUGCGCGUGUGCCUCUCUUGCUGGCCGCCUCUGUCGCGGCCGGCGCGCGCUGCUGCUGGCCGGGCAACGGGCGCAUGCAGUCACACAGGCCCGCAUCUCCGCCCGCGUCCGGUGCACUGCUUGCGUGCCUCACCGCCCGUGGCAUCCGCCUCUGCCUGCUGGUAUGCUGCGCGCCCCCUCGCUCUCCUCCUCCCUGCCCUGCCCGCCCGCCCCGCAAGAGCCAUGCACGCGCGUCGGCUCCCCUGACCGCCUGUGCUCACGAGCAGCCGCGGAGGGAGGGGGAGGCGAACGGAUGCCGGUGCGGCUGUGCGUGCCGAUGGAGGGCAUCCGGAUGCCGCGCUGCCGCCCGUGCCGCCGUCGCGGUGGCGUUGCGGGUGUCUCUUGUCUGGUUUGCUUUGCCGCUGCGUGCUGAGCGGAGGCGUGUGCGGCGGGCGGGGCGUUCCUGAGCGCGCCGCGGACUCCGCACACCGGGUGCGGUGAGCUGGAGGACUCGGUGGCCGGCGCUUGGAGCGAUGUGGUGGGGAGGGGCUGAGGGCGUCGAGCCGCUGAGUGGCGCCGUGUGCGCGUGACGGAACGCACAUCGCAGGGUGGGCUGUGCCGGCCGCCUGGCCAACUGCUCGCGCGGGUGUGCGCCGGCGCCCUGGAUGAGCGGUGGCAGUGUGUGCCCUGCGGCCGUGAUGGGGGCCGCAGCCACGCAUGGCGCGCCGCCGCCGUGUGGGUGGCGGAGGCACCGGCGCGCUGUAGCACGAUGGGCUGGCCACACGCGAGGCUGCUGCUGCGUCGAGUGGGCGGCGUUGCUGCUUGUACGCGCUGACUGGUGCACCCGUGCGUGCAUGUGCAGAGCGGCGUGAGCGCGCACAGGCGUGCAUAUGCCGCCACGCUCACACGGGAGUGGUGUGGCCUGCUGCGCUGGUCUCCCUCUGUUGGACGCAGGGCUGCUGGUAGGCGGUGCGGGCUGCCGGGCUUGCGGGCGCGCACGUGCGCGAGCGCUGGGUGGUGCGCGCCGCUGCUCUCCCGCUGCUCUCCGCCGAGCACCCCCUCGCCGACGAGCGGCUGCCGCUGCCUCGCACAUCCUUCUUUCUGUGUGCGAGGUGCAUGAUAAUGGUAUGCGGAUGCUGGUGGGGCUGCGCAUGGGCGCUCGCCUCUCUCCCACACGCGGGCUCGACGUAUCCGUGCUGUCAGCGCUCCUGCCCACCGCCCCCACGCGUGUGUGCGCGCGCUCCGGCGCUGCUGCCGCUGGCGCUGUUGUGUGUGUGCAGGGGCCGCGCCACGCACACGCACGGGAGUGAGGGGGAGCCGCAGCGACCGACCGGGCGGAGGGGGCGCUCCCGCCCGCUGGUCAUGCUCUCUGUUUCGCUGGCCGGCCUCUCUACGCCGCUGGCGUGGGCGAAGCUCCGCGCUGCGUAUCGCUCGCCCCUCCCUGCCCCUCGCCUCCUCCUCCUCAUGUGCACUGCUCCCUCCCUCUCCCUCCCUCUCCGCUCCUCGCUGUCCCCUCGGCCGACCUCCACGGACACGCAG
rnacentral:misc_RNA from 1 species